UUGAACGCUGGCGGCAUGCCUUACACAUGCAAGUCGAACGGUAACAGGGAGCUUGCUCCGCUGACGAGUGGCGAACGGGUGAGUAAUAUAUCGGAACGUGCCCUGGAGUGGGGGAUAACUAGUCGAAAGAUUAGCUAAUACCGCAUACGAUCUAAGGAUGAAAGUGGGGGAUCGCAAGACCUCAUGCUCGUGGAGCGGCCGAUAUCUGAUUAGCUAGUUGGUAGGGUAAAAGCCUACCAAGGCGACGAUCAGUAGCUG
rnacentral:rRNA from 2 species